CUGCGAAUGGCUCAUUAAAUCAGUUAUCGUUUAUUUGAUAGUACCUUACUACUUGGAUAACCGUGGUAAUUCUAGAGCUAAUACAUGCUAAAAACCCCGACUUUUGGAGGGGUGUAUUUAUUAGAUAAAAAACCAAUGCCCUUCGGGGCUCCUUGGUGAUUCAUAAUAACUUAACGAAUCGCAUGGCCUUGUGCCGGCGAUGGUUCAUUCAAAUUUCUGCCCUAUCAACUUUCGAUGGUUAGGUCUUGGCUAACCAUGGUUUCAACGGGUAACGGGGAAUUAGGGUUCUAUUCCGGAGAGUGAGCCUGAGAAACGGCUAACACAUCCAAGGAAGGCAGCAGGCGCGCAAAUUACCCAAUCCCGACACGGGGAGGUAGUGACAAUAAAUACUGAUCCAGGGCUCUUUUGGGUCUUGGAAUUGGAAUGAGUACAAUUUAAAUCCCUUAACGAGGAACAAUUGGAGGGCAAGUCUGGUGCCAGCAGCCGCGGUAAUUCCAGCUCCAAUAGCGUAUAUUAAAGUUGUUGCAGUUAAAAAGCUCGUAGUUGAACCUUGGGUCUGGCUGGCCGGUCCGCCUCACCGCGUGUACUGGUCCGGCCGGACCUUUCCUUCUGGGGAAUCGCAUGCCCUUCACUGGGUGUGUCGAGGAUCCAGGACUUUUACUUUGAAAAAAUUAGAGUGUUCAAAGCAGGCCUAUGCUCGAAUACAUUAGCAUGGAAUAAUAGAAUAGGACGUGUGGUUCUAUUUUGUUGGUUUCUAGGACCGCCGUAAUGAUUAAUAGGGAUAGUCGGGGGCAUCAGUAUUCAAUUGUCAGAGGUGAAAUUCUUGGAUUAAUUGAAGACUAACUACUGCGAAAGCAUUUGCCAAGGAUGUUUUCAUUAAUCAGUGAACGAAAGUUAGGGGAUCGAAGACGAUCAGAUACCGUCGUAGUCUUAACCAUAAACUAUGCCGACUAGGGAUCGGGCGAUGUUACUUUUUUGACUCGCUCGGCACCUUACGAGAAAUCAAAGUC
rnacentral:rRNA from 1 species